UGGGGAAUAUUGCACAAUGGGCGCAAGCCUGAUGCAGCAACGCCGCGUGAGGGACGACGGCCUUCGGGUUGUAAACCUCUUUUAGUAGGGAAGAAGCGAAAGUGACGGUACCUGCAGAAAAAGCACCGGCUAACUACGUGCCAGCAGCCGCGGUAAUACGUAGGGUGCAAGCGUUGUCCGGAAUUAUUGGGCGUAAAGAGCUCGUAGGCGGUUUGUCGCGUCUGCUGUGAAAAACCCGAGGCUCAACCUCGGGCCUGCAGUGGGUACGGGCAGACUAGAGUGCGGUAGGGGAGAAUGGAAUUCCUGGUGUAGCGGUGGAAUGCGCAGAUAUCAGGAGGAACACCGAUGGCGAAGGCAGUUCUCUGGGCCGUAACUGACGCUGAGGAGCGAAAGCGUGGGGAGCGAACAGGAUUAGAUACCCUGGUAGUCCACGCCGUAAACGUUGGGCGCUAGAUGUGGGGACCAUUCCACGGUUUCCGUGUCGCAGCUAACGCAUUAAGCGCCCCGCCUGGGGAGUACGGCCGCAAGGCUAAAA
rnacentral:rRNA from 1 species